UACUCCUACGGGAGGCAGCAGUAGGGAAUCUUCCGCAAUGGACGAAAGUCUGACGGAGCAACGCCGCGUCAGUGAUGAAGGCUUUCGGGUCGUAAAACUCUGUUGUUAGGGAAGAACAAGUACAAGAGUAACUGCUUGUACCUUGACGGUACCUAACCAGAAAGCCACGGCUAACUACGUGCCAGCAGCCGCGGUAA
rnacentral:rRNA from 1 species